rnacentral:rRNA from 1 species
AACGGCCAUGCCAUGCUGAACAUACCGGUUCUCGUUAGAUCACCGAAGUCAAGCAUCAUUGAGCGCGGUCAGUUCUUGGGUGGGUGACCACCUGGGAACACCACGUGCCGUU